GGAUAGCUCAGUCGGUAGAGCAGAGGAUUGAAAAUCCUCGUGUCGGUGGUUCGAUUCCGCCUCCGGGCACCA
rnacentral:tRNA from 2 species